CCAGUAAAUAAAGUGUUGACCUGUCAUAGUCCACUUGCUUUAGUGGGUGCUUGGUACUCAGAGUGUCACUAAACAAGUGGACUGAACUGCUUCAGGCAAAAAAAGAAAGAAAGAAACUGUCUUGUGCCUAGAUAGCUAGAAUGUCAGGACCAUUGCAGGUCAAUGAUUCACGGAAGAUGGCCAUCAUUGACCAUGAACUGAGAAUGCUCAUCACUGAUGUUGCCACUCUACAGGAGACCAGACUCAUUUCAAAUGGCUGCCUCAGAGAGAUAUACUACACCUUUUUCUGGCAAGGAGAGCAUCCAGAAGAACCAGGUAUUCACGGUGUAGGCUUCACAAUGAAGAACUUCCUUCUGUCUGUGAUAAAGGGCUCAGAACAUUUGUUUUCCCUCGACUUCUCAAUUGCCGUCAUUUUGGUUAACAUCUUGAGCAUCCAAGACAGACGGAUGUCAACAAGGACCAAAACUCAGGCAUCCUUUGAAAUUUGCACUUCUCUGAAUUUUGCAGUGUGGUUUUCCUGCCAAAUAAUGUGUUUUUAAAAAUGUAUAUACUGGGGCAAAGUGCCCAUAAAAAUUAAUCCCCCCUGCCAUGAAAACAACAUGAAAAUGCUUUAUUUUAGGGCAAAAUGGCUUUGGAAAAAUGUGUCUAUUAGGG
rnacentral:lncRNA from 1 species